rnacentral:pre_miRNA from 1 species
CGCAUAAUUUGUUAAAAGGAUAUUAAGCAAAGUUGUAGCACUCAUCAAGACAAACAACUUUUGUUAACAUCGUCUUACCAAACAAUGCAAGCGUAAGGAGUUACUUACUGCGCAUGCGCGGACCUAUCUUCUUAAAUACGCAUAAUUUGGUAAGACGAUGUUAACAAAAGUUGUCGCCUUGAUGAGGGCUACAACUUUGCUUAAUAUCCUUUUAACAAAUUAACGCAGAACGUAACUCCUUACGCUUGCAUUUGUUGGUAAGACGAUGUUAACAAAAGUUGUUCGUCUUGAUGAGGGCUACAACUUUGCUUAAUAUCCUUUUAACAAAUUAUGCG